CGUGACCACCAGAGCUUCUUGGACACGAUGCUGCCCUUGUACCCCUGCCGGUUCCUGUUUGGGUUUCCUACCUACCCCUUCAGCUGAGUUUCUUCCUGUUCCCUUCCUCCCUGACUGUUCCACCUGCCUGCAGUCUGAUUGCAGCAAUGAGAAUCAGCUGCUGUAAUUGGCUCACCACCAGUAACCUGUUUGCAAUUCCACCUCCCAGCAUAUAAGCCAGCUCUGUCAUUCACUCUCUGCUCCACCAUGAGCUCUGAUGGCCUGCAUCAACUCGUGACCACCAGAGCUUCUUCGACAUGACUCUGCCCUCUAACCCCUGCCGGUUCCUGUUUGGGUUUCCUACCUACCCCUUCAGCUGAGUUUCUUCCUGUUAUUUUGCUUUCAGCCCUUCCUCCCUGACUGUUCCACCUGCCUGCAGUCUGAUUGCAGCAAUGAGAAUCAGCUGCCAUAAUUGGCUCACCACCAGUCACCUGUUUGCAAUUCCACCUCCCAGCAUAUAAGCCAGCUCUGUCAUUCACUCUCUGCUCCACCAUGAGCUCUGAUGGCCUGCAUCAACUCGUGACCACCGGAGCUUCUUGGACACGAUGCUGCCCUUGUACCCCUGCCGGUUCCUGUUUGGGUUUCCUACCUACCCCUUCAGUUGAGUUUCUUCCUAUUAUUUUGCUUUCAGCCCUUCCUCCCUGACUGUUCCACCUGCCUGCAGUCUGAUUGCAGCAAUGAGAAUCAGCUGCCAUAAUUGGCUCACCACCAGUCACCUGUUUGCAAUUCCACCUCCCAGCAUAUAAGCCAGCUCUGUCAUUCACUCUCUGCUCCACCAUGAGCUCUGAUGGCCUGCAUCAACUCGUGACCACCAGAGCUUCUUGGACACGAUGCUGCCCUUGUACCCCUGCCGGUUCCUGUUUGGGUUUCCUACCUACCCCUUCAGCUGAGUUUCUU
ensembl:lncRNA